AACGAACGCUGGCGGCGUGCCUAACACAUGCAAGUCGUGCGAGAAAGUUCCUUCGGGAGCGAGUAAAGCGGCGCACGGGUGAGUAACACGUAGGUAACCUGCCCCCCAGUCUGGAACAACUAGAGGAAACUCUAGCUAAUGCCGGAUGAGACCACGAUCCCUUCGGGGGUUGCGGCCAAAGAUGGCCUCUACUUGUAAGCUAUCGCUGAGGGAUGGGCCUGCGGGCCAUUAGCUUGUUGGUGAGGUAACGGCUCACCAAGGCUGUGAUGGCUAGCUGGUCUGAGAGGAUGACCAGCCACACUGGGACUGAGACACGGCCCAGACUCCUACGGGAGGCAGCAGUGGGGAAUAUUGGACAAUGGGGGAAACCCUGAUCCAGCGAUGCCGCGUGAGUGAAGAAGGCCUUCGGGUUGUAAACGUCUUUCACCUGUGACGAUGAUGACGGUAGCAGGAGAAGAAGCACCGGCUAACUCCGUGCCAGCAGCCGCGGU
rnacentral:rRNA from 1 species